ACUGUAUUGUAUACCUAAAAUGUACCAAUGAACUUAAUGAAUUAAAAAGGGUAGGAGAAAAAGGGAGAUACAGCAUAUAUGUAUAUGUGUGUAUAUGUGUUAUAUAUGUGCAUAUCCUGGAUCCUUUCCUUGAGUGAAACAUUUCAGGAACCGGGGUUGAGUCCUAGGUCCUGGUUAGUUUUCCCGGAUGUGAGAGCCUGCACAUAGGACAGGACAGCUCCAGUUCAUCCGGGUGUUUUCUGAUGUGACAAAAUUGAAGUUCAGCAGUGGGUUUUUUUUGUUUUUUGGUACGGGGGAUUGAACUCGGAUCCUUGUGCUUGCAAGGCAGGCGGUAGAACCACUGAGCUACAUCCCCGGCCCUCAGCAGAGUGGCUUUGAAGUGUGUUUUAGUGUCCCUUCCUCUUGGCAGGCCCUGUGUGGAGAUCUGGAGCAGUUCUUCGAUACCGCAGAUUAAACCCACGUGGGCAGUCAGCCGGGAGCGUUGUGUUCCCCGGGGCUCCACAAGAUCGCUGUCCUCGUGCCCAUUUUCCUGAAGAGGAAACAGAGGCAUGGAGGCUGGGUAACUUGCCCAAGUCCCUGUAGCUCUAGGCAGCCGGCAGGCACGAGGAUUACCCUGUGGUCUUUAGAAAUACCUUCCCCGACUUGAUUUCAGCACUUGAGGGAGAACUGGGUGCUGACAAGGGGACUCCGCCUCCAGCGCGGGCCAUGCAGCGAGUCGCAGCAGAAUCCACGUGAAUGGGAUGCCACACGGCUCGUGCAGGUUGGCCCGCAGGGAUUGCCAGCUCUAGCCUUUCAACCUGUGUGUGCUGUGGCCGGGCGUACUGUUACCAAGAUCCCAGGACAGUUCCUCUUCCCUCAGCAUGGCCUGGGCAGACAGAAGUCUGGACACUCGUGGUAGAAAUGGAGUUGUGCGCACUCGACCUUUCGUGUCUGCCCACCUCUGACUCCAGCACCAAGCAAACGCCCCAGAGGAGGAGCCCCUUCGACAUGGAGACGGCUCUGGGGGGCUUUGUCCUCACAGCACUGGGAAUUUGCGGCGAGCCCCGGGCGGCCCCUCCCUUCUCUCUGCUGCCUGACGCCGGGACGUGAGCAGCUCUCCUGCGCCACCCUCUGCUGUGCCGUUUCUGCCUUGGAGCCAGCUGACCUGGGCUGAAAAGUGAGCUGAAAUAACCUCUGUCCUUUAAGAUGAGGUGUCGGGUAUAAAGUUCCAGCACAGGGCAGUGACCGAGAUACCCCAUGAGACCUAAGCAGCAACCACCUCGUCCGUAGCUGCGCCUGGCAGCUGUUUAUGGGCCACAGGUGCAGCCCCGCCUGCCCCAGAGGCUGCUGGGUAGACCCGGGCAGCACCACGGUGGGCGCUGUGGGCUAUGGCAGCAGAAGGCCCAGCCGGGGCCUGAGCCAUCUGUCUGUCCCUGAAGAGGGCAGAGCACCCCGAUGUGUGGGCUCUGGGGCUCAGCAUGCCCCUGUGCACCCCCAGGGCAGCCUGGCAGGGGUCCUGCUUCAGUUUCCCUCCUGGCCUUUGGGGUCCCCGAGGACAGCACCCCUCUGUCUCUUGGGACAGCAAGGACUGGGGUUGCCCCACUGGAGCCUUGGGCCACAGGGCUUUUCUUCUUCACAGGCAGGGCUGAACAGCGCUGGCUUUCUGAGUCAGGCGUUGGGUUCCCACCUCAGGACUUGGGCCAGCCUUGCCACCCCGCCCCCCCCCCCCCGGCCUGGUGUGGGAGGAGCCAGGCUCCCAGAGCACAGUCAGAGUCACACCUGGGGCCUGGUGCAGGUUGGGGCAGCCUCCCUCCUGUUGUCCACACUCUCCACCUGGGCCUGGUGUGCAGCGGGAGGUGCUCUGGCUCCCCUGCAUUGCAUCUGCUGCCACAGCUGGGAAUAAAGCCUUCCCGAGGCGGCUCCUGCCUGCCCUGUGCCCGCCCAACUAGGAGGGGCAUUGUGCCGGGGGCCGGACAGCCUGCAGGACCCCGACACCCGCAGGGGAACUGCCCCUGGGACCCCAAACUGGGCAGUGGGAGGCAGAGGUCCGCAUCACGAGACACUGUGCACUCGGAGGAAGAGGACCCCAGGAUGGGACAGGUUGGACAGCUUGGGAAGGCCUGGUGGCGGUGGGCACUGGAAUCUCCACACGGUCCUCACAGGGAGAAGAGCUGUGACUCUGGGGCUUUUCCAAGGGGUGCUGUGCAUCCUGGGGUCUCCCCUGAGAAGCUGUGGCAGUGUUUCUAGGGACCUUGAGGUAGGACAAGCCUGGAAGUGUUUUCAGAGUUAUCAGCUUGGGAUUUCAAGACCCAGCAGUGGAAUGGAUUUUAACCCAGACCCAAGAAAAUACCUAGGUUUACAAAAGCCUUCUCUCCACCAGAGGGCAGGCCCAGGCGUGCCGCACCCUUACGCACUCUCCACAGUGACGGGCACAUUGUCCAGUCCCUGCUCAGCGCAGGCCUGGCCCCUUCCCCUUGUGACCACCAUAACCCAAGUCCCUUGGUACCUGGGGUUGGGAGAGCUUUCCCUCAAGCUGGGUGUCCACCACCCACUGAGCCCCGUUUUCCUGUUUCCUCCCCGUCUUUGGAGGAUUCUUAGACUUUCCUGCAUUUAAAGAUUUCCUGCUGUGGUUUAUCAAGCAUUUCCGGGGGACUCUUAGGUAGCUGGGAGAAGUUGCAAUUUGCUGGAAUCUAAAACCCUUUCCGCUUCCACCUUUGCACCUCCAUUCCAGCCUCACCACAGCCAGUGUGAUCUUUACAAAAAAAUGAAGCUUACUUUGCUUUCACUUGCAUAAAACCCUUCAGUGGUUUCAAGUAGCUUUGGGUUUAUGAUGACAGUUUUGAAAUCCCACAAACUUUCCCAUUUUUCUUCUAUGAUAAUUAGCACCCUCUCCCCCAUUGGAGCUACAGUGGUAGGAACAUGGCUCAUGUUGAGCCAAUCACUGGACUGCAAUUCCUAUGGACACGGUGACUGGGCCAAUGGGCAAGCAUGGGACCCAACUGGACCAAUCAGAAUCCUCCUCUGAUUUUUUUUCCCUCCAAAUUGGAGCUAGAAGGGGAACAUUCUCUUCCUUUUGGUUAUGAAGAUGCAGGCCUGCUGAAUAUCAGUGACUAUUUUCCUAUCAGAUUGAUAGAACCUGUCAGUGCAAGAGAGCAUGAGGCCAAUACAUAAGAAUCAGUUGAAAAGAAAAUCUUAACUUCUUUAUCAGUACUGAGGUUUGAACUCAGGCCCUCCUGCAUUCUAAGCAGACAUUCUACCCCUGAGCCAUAUCCUCAACCCCCAAGAAAGUCUUCACGACACGGUUUGAGCCCCCCGGAUCCACCUACUCCUGAAGCUCUUACCCCAGACUGUCCAGUUCUACAAACAAGUAUGUUGCUUUUUUGCUAAAACUAGUCAGAUGUAACAAAAACGUCUUUGCCAAUCAGGCCAGGUCCUAGCCACCACCCCGUGAGGGCCUGUGUCAGGUGACCCUUGUCUGUAGCCACUCUCACCUCACCCCAGUCUUCCAGGUCCCCGUGGCCACCCCUGCGGAGCUUCCUUCCGUUUCUCUUGUGUGUGUCUCCCUCUCUCUCAGGCCCUCUCACCUGCUGGUCUCCUGGCUCUCUGCCUGGCUGAUUCCUCCACAUCCUCCAGGGGCAUCCAGGUGGUGCAGGACUCUGUGAAACGCUCCCCGACUGCCGGCCAGGCCGGGCCCAUCCUCCACCUCCAUGAUGUCUCCACAGCUGGCUGCCUUCCUUCUAAGCAGGUGUCACAAGCCCUCUGUUUCCAAGGAGAUAAUUCCUCUUUGCAGUCCAUCUUCUCCAUGGGAUCAUCAGCCCCCCAGGGUCAGGACCAUUUGUGUCCAUAACUGUUCUGCACGGAGUGUGAGGCACAGCAUGUGUGCCCUGUGAUGUCUGUCAGCUGAUGCACAGGAAGAUGGAAUUGCAGCUCGUGAGCUUUUGAUUUCUGGUGCUUUUCACUAAUAGACAACACCAGCACCCUGCGCCACAACCUCCGUGGGCUCCUGGGGAAGCAGUGGGGUCUCUGCGUGCCACGGUCACCCUGGCCGCAGUGGCCCGUGUGCCCAGGAGGUGGCAGUGUUGCAACUCCCUGGCCGCCCAGGCCUCUGAGUUCGGUGAACCUGCCUCUUCAGCCUGGAACCCAGGCUCCAGGCCGGAAGGAAGCACAGUGUUUGUUUGUCCGAACACAAAUCCUGUCCGAGUCGCACGUCUGGAGGGAGCCUCUGGCUUCUCCCUCUGGUCAGGGGCCUGAUCUUCCCAGGACGGCUCAUCGUCACCCCAGCCACCAGCUCCCACAACUGCCCAGGGAGGGGCUGCUGGCUCCCCCUGGGGCUGUGUACGAGAAGCCCAAAGUAUAAAUAAUUUAAAAAUGAAUAAAAUAAAAGAUAGAUUA